AUGCGAUACGUAAUGUGAAUUGCAGAAUUCAGUGAAUCAUCGAAUCUUUGAACGCAUAUUGCGCUCUUUGGUAUUCCGAAGAGCAUGCUUGUUUGAGUAUCAGUAAACACCUCAAAGCUUUUGGAUUUUUUAAUCGAAAAGCUUUGGACUUGAGCAAUCCCAACACCAAUCUUUUUGAGAUCGGUGGCGGGUUGCUUGAAAUGCAGGUGCAGCUGGACAUUCUCCUGAGCUAAAAGCAUAUUCAUUUAGUCCCGUCAAACGGAUUAUUACUUUUGCUGCAGCUAACAUAAAGGGAGUUUGACCGUAUUGGCUGACUGAUGCAGGAUUUCACAAGGGUCGGCAACGAUCCUUGUUAAACUCGAUCUCAAAUCAAGUAAGACUACCCGCUGAACUUAA
rnacentral:misc_RNA from 1 species